rnacentral:rRNA from 1 species
GACGAACGCUGGCGGCGUGCCUAAUACAUGCAAGUAGAACGCUGAAACUUGGUGCUUGCACCGAGCGGAUGAGUUGCGAACGGGUGAGUAACGCGUAGGUAACCUGCCUGGUAGCGGGGGAUAACUAUUGGAAACGAUAGCUAAUACCGCAUAAGAGUAGAUGUUGCAUGACAUUUGCUUAAAAGGUGCAAUUGCACCACUACCAGAUGGACCUGCGUUGUAUUAGCUAGUUGGUGGGGUAACGGCUCACCAAGGCGACGAUACAUAGCCGACCUGAGAGGGUGAUCGGCCACACUGGGACUGAGACACGGCCCAGACUCCUACGGGAGGCAGCAGUAGGGAAUCUUCGGCAAUGGACGGAAGUCUGACCGAGCAACGCCGCGUGAGUGAAGAAGGUUUUCGGAUCGUAAAGCUCGGUUGUAAGAGAAGAACGAGUGUGAGAGUGGAAAGUUCACACUGUGACGGUAUCUUACCAGAAAGGGACGGCUAACUACGUG